rnacentral:rRNA from 1 species
UACGUAGGUGGCAAGCGUUGUCCGGAAUUAUUGGGCGUAAAGCGCGCGCAGGCGGUCCUUUCAGUCUGAUGUGAAAGCCCACGGCUCAACCGUGGAAGGUCAUUGGAAACUGGAGGACUUGAGUACAGAAGAGGAAAGCGGAAUUCCACGUGUAGCGGUGAAAUGCGUAGAGAUGUGGAGGAACACCAGUGGCGAAGGCGGCUUUCUGGUCUGUAACUGACGCUGAGGCGCGAAAGCGUGGGGAGCAAACAGG